rnacentral:rRNA from 1 species
UACGUAGGGUGCAAGCGUUAAUCGGAAUUACUGGGCGUAAAGCGUGCGCAAGCGGUGAUGUAAGACAGAUGUGAAAUCCCCGGGCUCAACCUGGGAACUGCAUUUGUGACUGCAUCGCUGGAGUGCGGCAGAGGGGGAUGGAAUUCCGCGUGUAGCAGUGAAAUGCGUAGAUAUGCGGAGGGACACCGAUGGCGAAGGCAAUCCCCUGGGCCUGCACUGACGCUCAUGCACGAAAGCGUGGGGAGCAAACAGG